CAGCCGCCGCGGUAAUACGUAGGGUGUAAGUGUUAUCCGGAUUUACUGGGCGUAAAGAGUUCUGUCGGCGACUUGAUAAGUUUUUUGUCUAAUCCCAAGGCUCAACUUUGGAACGGCGAAAAAAACUAUCAGGAUUGAGUGUGUUCGGGGAAGCUAGAAUUCUUGGUGGAGGGGUGAAAUCCGUAGAUAUCAAGAGGAAUACCAAUCGCGAAGGCGGGCUUCUAGGACAUUACUGACGCUCAGAGACGAAAGCUUGGGUAGCAAAAGGGAUUAGAGACCCCUGUAGUCCAAGCCGUAAACACUCCUUGCUAGCUGCCUUUCAGCUUCUUAAAUGAAUUUAUUAAUUCGUUUACGAAAUUGAGGGGUGGCGUAAGCUAACGCGUUAAGCAAGGCGCCUGGGAAGUACGACCGCAAGGUUAAAACUCAAAGGAAUUGACGGGGGAGCGCGCAACCGGUGGAGCAUGUGGUUUAAUUCGAUACCAAGCGAAGAACCUUACCUAAGUUUGACAU
rnacentral:rRNA from 1 species